rnacentral:RNase_P_RNA from 1 species
GAAGCUGACCGGGCGACCGCCGCGUCGUCGACCUUUCGGGGGCAGGCGGGCGGGAGAUCCGGGCUUCGCGGGGCGGGUGCGGUAACGCACGGGGAAACCCGACCAGUGCAACGAAGGAGCAAACCGCCGAUGGCCCACGUAAAGUGGGGAUAGGUGAAAAGGGUGCGGUAAGAGCGCACCGCGCGGCUGGUAACCAGUCCGUGGCACGGUAAAGCUCCACCCGGAGCAGGCCAAAUAGGGUUCAUAAGGUACGGCCCGUACUGAACCCGGGUAGGCUGCUUGAGCCAGUGGCGAUUGCUGGCCUAGAUGAAUGACUGUCACGACGGAGCGGCUUAUCGGUCAGUUUCUCUG